AGAGUUUGAAUUCUGGCUCAGGAUGAACGCUGGCGGCGUGCUUAACACAUGCAAGUCGAACGGUGAAGCCCAGCUUGCUGGGUGGAUCAGUGGCGAACGGGUGAGUAACACGUGAGCAAUCUGCCCCUGACUCUGGGAUAAGCGCUGGAAACGGCGUCUAAUACUGGAUACGAACCGUGGAGGCAUCUUCAACGGUUGGAAAGAUUUUUUGGUCAGGGAUGAGCUCGCGGCCUAUCAGCUUGUUGGUGAGGUAAUGGCUCACCAAGGCGUCGACGGGUAGCCGGCCUGAGAGGGUGACCGGCCACACUGGGACUGAGACACGGCCCAGACUCCUACGGGAGGCAGCAGUGGGGAAUAUUGCACAAUGGGCGAAAGCCUGAUGCAGCAACGCCGCGUGAGGGAUGACGGCCUUCGGGUUGUAAACCUCUUUUAGCAGGGAAGAAGCGAAAGUGACGGUACCUGCAGAAAAAGCGCCGGCUAACUACGUGCCAGCAGCCGCGGUAAUACGUAGGGCGCAAGCGUUAUCCGGAAUUAUUGGGCGUAAAGAGCUCGUAGGCGGUUUGUCGCGUCUGCUGUGAAAUCCCGAGGCUCAACUUCGGGUCUGCAGUGGGUACGGGCAGACUAGAGUGCGGUAGGGGAGAUUGGAAUUCCUGGUGUAGCGGUGGAAUGCGCAGAUAUCAGGAGGAACACCGAUGGCGAAGGCAGAUCUCUGGGCCGUAACUGACGCUGAGGAGCGAAAGGGUGGGGAGCAAACAGGCUUAGACACCCUGGUAGUCCACCCCGUAAACGUUGGGAACUAGUUGUGGGGUCCAUUCCACGGAUUCCGUGACGCAGCUAACCGCAUUAAAGUUCCCCCCC
rnacentral:rRNA from 1 species